GGCGCCGAGGGAGCACCCACCCCCUGCACGCGCCAUCGGCCGGGGUGACUAAUCCGCCGGCUGGCUCCCUGCGCCCCCUCCCCGGCUCAUUCGGCCCGCGGGGCGAGGGAAGGUGGCCGGACCCGGCGACACGCCCCUGCCCGCGACCGGCGGGGAAGCGCAGAUGCUGGCACCGAGGUGCCUCAGCCAGCCGCACCUCGGGUCCUGCGGGCAUCCCCUCCGGGCCGGGAGGUCAGGCCCCAGAGCCCGAGGCCCGCCUCACCACCGCCCUCCAGAACGGGGAAGACGAGGCCCAGAGAGGGCCAGGGACUUGUCCAAGCUCCACAGCGAGGGAGGCAGAGCCAGGGCACCGUGGUGAGGGCGUGCGAGGACAGACUGCAGGCUCCUGGAGGCGUCUGCGAGCUCAGUCUGCGCCCUGUGCAACCGCGGCCCGGCAGGUGCCUCUGGCUGGGUCUGAGAUUCCACGGGCCACCUGCCUCCUCACACCACUUCUCCUGGGGGCGCCGUGUGGCUUCCUGCGCAUCACUCAACCCCUCUGGCCCCAGCGGUGUCCUUGUCACACAACAGGCAGACUGUACUAAACGGUGGCCGAGGUUCUCAGGCGGCUCGGAGGCUGACGGCAAUGGUGGGUGGCAGGGAGGAGGCUGGACCUGUGGCCAGUCUGUCCCCUCCACCGGGAGUGCCCCAUCCAGCCGAGCGCACAUCACCCCCGGUUCAAAUGACAGAGGCCUCUCGGGUUUUACCUAAGCAUAAAAACUCAUCAUGGUUUUA